rnacentral:misc_RNA from 1 species
AAGGAGUCUAACAUAUAUGCGAGUAUUUGGGUAUCAAACCCGUGUGCGCAAUGAAAGUGAACGUAGGAGACACGCGCAAGCUGCAGCUUCGACCGAUCUGGAUCUUUAGUGAUGGAUUUGAGUAAGAGCAUAUAUGUUGGGACCCGAAAGAUGGUGAACUAUGCCUGAAUAGGGCGAAGCCAGAGGAAACUCUGGUGGAGGCUCGUAGCGGUUCUGACGUGCAAAUCGGUCGUCGAAUUUGGGUAUAGGGGCGAAAGACUAAUCGAACCAUCUAGUAGCUGGUUCCUGC